AAGGUGAACUUCUAGGAGGACCCAAUGAACCCAUCUAAAUGGAAGGAAGAACAUGAAUUCUAAGGGCUAUGAUAUGGCAAAAAAGUAUGUGAGCAAACAAAAGAAACAUAGAAAGGGUCUGAUGUUGCUGCUUCACAUGGCCAGAUGAAGAUGAUGGAUGAAUUUGAA